CCUACGGGUGGCUGCAGUGGGGAAUAUUGGACAAUGGGGGAAACCCUGAUCCAGCAAUGCCGCGUGUGUGAAGAAGGCCUGCGGGUUGUAAAGCACUUUCGGUUGGGAAGAAAAGUUUGGCGCCAAUACCGCCGAACCUUGACGUUACUGACAGAAGAAGCACCGGCUAACUCUGUGCCAGCAGCCGCGGUAAUACAGAGGGUGCAAGCGUGACGCGAAAUCACUGGAGGUGGUGAGUCAAUAGGGGGUCGACAUCCCCGGGCUUAACCUGGGAACUGCAUUCGAUACUACAUGGCUAGAGUAUGGUAGAGGGAAGUGGAAUUUCCGGUGUAGCGGUGAAAUGCGUAGAUAUCGGAAGGAACACCAAUGGCGAAGGCAGCUUCCUGGACUAAUACUGACACUGAGGCACGAAAGCGUGGGUAGCAAACAGGAUUAGAUACCCUAGUAGUC
rnacentral:rRNA from 1 species